rnacentral:rRNA from 1 species
GAUGAACGCUGGCGGCGUGCCUAAUACAUGCAAGUCGAGCGAACAGACGAGGAGCUUGCUCCUCUGACGUUAGCGGCGGACGGGUGAGUAACACGUGGAUAACCUACCUAUAAGACUGGGAUAACUUCGGGAAACCGGAGCUAAUACCGGAUAAUAUAUUGAACCGCAUGGUUCAAUAGUGAAAGACGGUUUUGCUGUCACUUAUAGAUGGAUCCGCGCCGCAUUAGCUAGUUGGUAAGGUAACGGCUUACCAAGGCAACGAUGCAUAGCCGACCUGAGAGGGUGAUCGGCCACACUGGAACUGAGACACGGUCCAGACUCCUACGGGAGGCAGCAGUAGGGAAUCUUCCGCAAUGGGCGAAAGCCUGACGGAGCAACGCCGCGUGAGUGAUAAAGGUCUUCGGAUCGUAAAACUCUGUUAUUAGGGAAGAACAAAUGUGUAAGUAACUAUGCACGUCUUGACGGUACCUAAUCAGAAAGCCACGGCUAACUACGUG